rnacentral:rRNA from 1 species
AUACGAAUGGAGCGAGCGUUGUUCGGAAUCAUUGGGCGUAAAGCGUAUGUAGGCGGACUUGAAAGUCAGAAGUGAAAUCCCGAGGCUCAACCUCGGAAUUGCUUUUGAAACUCCAAGUCUCGAGUCCCGGAGGGGUUGACGGAAUUCCUAGUGUAGAGGUGAAAUUCGCAGAUAUUAGGAGGAACACCAGUGGCGUAGGCGGUCAACUGGACGGGUACUGACGCUGAGAUACGAAAGCGUGGGGAGCAAACAGGAUUAGAAACCCUAGUAGUCC